UACGUAGGUGGCAAGCGUUACUCGGAAUUACUAGCGGUAAAGCGCAGGGUAGGUGGUGGCGAAUAAGUCCGUAAUGAAAAUCUCCCGGCUUAACUGGGAGGGGUUUAGGGAUACUGUCGUGCUUGAGUGUGGGGAGAGGUAACUGGAAUUCCUGGUGUAGCGGUGAAAUGCGUAGAGAUCAGGAGGAACACCUAUGGCGAAAGCGGUACUGGCCCAAUACUGACGUGAGCUGCGAAAGCUAGGGGAGCAAACAGG
rnacentral:rRNA from 1 species